GCUCGGAGUCUUCGUGGAUUUCAAGGGAGCCUUCGACAACGUUGAGUGGAAUGCUGCACUACGCCGCCUCCUUGAGCUGGGAUGCCGAGAAGCAAGCUUGUGGCGAAGUUUCUUCUCCGGCCGGAGUGCGAGCAUCGUCAGUAGGCAUGGAGUAGCCACUGUUCCGGUGACAAGAGGUUGCCCGCAGGGGUCCAUAAGUGGUCCAUUUAUAUGGGACAUCUUAAUGGACGUAUUGCUCCAGCGCUUAGAGUCCCUUGGUGCGCUCAGCGCGUAUGCUGACGACUUGCUCCUCCUCAUUGAAGGGAAUGCCCGAUCAGAGCUCGAACAAAAAGGAGGUGAGUUAAUGUCCAUCGUAGGCGCUUGGGGAGUUGAAGUCGGCGUUGCCGUUUCAACUAGCAAGACGGCGAUCAUGCUGCUCAAAGGCAGUGGUACAGUUUGCUGGAGCAAGCCUGCCAUAUAAGCGCAAGUAUCGGUACCUAGGCAUCACGGUCGGCGAGCGGUUGAGUUUUCUCCCGCACAUCACGGGCUUGCGUGAUAAGCUGACCAGAGUCGUAGGGGCAUUGUCGCGCGUACUGGGGUCGACGGUCGACUGGGGACUCAGUCCCCCCGCAAAGCGGACAAUAUAUGCCGGACUCAUGGUGCCCUGUGCACGAUUUGGUGCCUCGGUUUGGUCUGUCGUGACGACGACGCAAGUGGUUGCCAGGAGGCAUCUGCUUGCGUGCCAAAGGAUCGUCCUGAUUGGAUGCCUACCGGUAUGCCGAACAGUGUCCACCAUGGCGCUGCAAGUACUAGCUGGAGCCCCCCCGUUUGAACUAAAGCGUGACUACCCGCUGGAGGAGAGCGAUUGGCUGUACGGCGAAGAUUUGGCAAAUCUUAGCUGGAAGCAGAAGAUGGCGACUAGACGAAGACCUGUUGUGCGAGUGGCAACGCAGAUGGGAAGAUGGUGACUCCCCAGGUCGGGUGAAGCACCGCUUCAUCCCGAACGCAGGCUUCGUCUACAGCGAACGAAGGUUUGGCUUCACGCUGCGCGCUGGGUUCCUGCUGACGGGCCACGGAUCGCUCAAUGCAUUUCUGAAUGGAAGAAACCUUAGCGACACGCCAGCAUGUCUAUGCGGCGCAGAACGCGAGGAUUGGCAGCACUUCCUAUGUGCUUGUCCCCUCUAUACAGACUUGCGAGACCUCGAUGGACUUGGAGUGCAGUACACGGAUGGCGACUGGACCUUCUCCGAUGGCUUCUCAGGAGUGAAUGCGGACUCUCGACAGGUUCGCCGGACUGGCGUUCUCCAGGCGACAGCAGCUGCCGAAUGUGCAAGCGGCGCACGGGCUGGGUGGAUUCCCUAACCAGGCCGGUCGGGGCUAAAAGGGAGGAUCGAGCUGAGUCCUUAAGAUCGGUACCACGGGUUGUGCAGUUCCAAGGCUGCACAUUGAGGUCGGCCCCCUAGUGGGAGUAUCGUGGUGGCUGUGGUUGAUACCCAAACGUUACGCGGGGAGAGCCGCUAGGCUCCUCGUGGAGUUGCGCUCUCAACCGGGUGCCGAGACACAUAGAUCGGAAGACGUGUUAGAUACACCUCGCCCCUCACCAAGGGGGAUUGUAUGCCCGACCAGGAUACUUUCAAUUGGUACCAGAAGAGUCGCUAUGAACAUAGCUAUAGCUUCUUUUUAGGGGCGCUAACUGGCGCAUUGUACCAGGUUCCUGCGUAUGUAGCGGUGGUGCGUGAUGGCGUGAUAUAUGUAUAUAUAUCGCACUAAUCGAGGCUAAGCUGCAAAUAAACAUUAGACGCCGUGGUUGAAAUCCCUCCCUGAGGAACCGCCACGUAAAAUAAAGCUGAGAGAUCAGAUUCAUUCUAUCUAGCGAAACCACAGCCAAGGGAACGGGCGUGGAAUAAUUAGCGGGGAAAGAAGACCCUUUUGAGCUUGACUCUAAUCUGGCAGUGUAAGGAGACAUAAGAGGUGUAGCAUAAGUGGGAGAUAUUAGAUUUCGGUUUGGUAUCGACCAUGAAAUACCACUACUCUUAUUGUUUCCUUACUUACUUGAUUAAAUGGAACGUGUAUCAUUUCCUAGCCAUUAUACGGAUAUAUUUAUUAUAUCUUAUGGUAUUGGGUUUUGAUGCAAGCUUCUUGAUCAAAGUAUCACGAGUUUGUUAUAUAAUCGCAAACAAAUUCUUUAAUGAGAAAAUGCUUUUAUGUAUUUUCAGUUUGAAAAUUUGGUAUAACUCCAAUUACUCAGGUAUGAUCCAAUUCAAGGACAUUGCCAGGUAGGGAGUUUGACUGGGGAGGCGGAGGUGUCCCAAGGCCAGCUCAGUGCGGACAGAAACCACACAUAGAGCAAAAGGGCACAUGCUGACUUGAUCUCGGUGUUCAGUACACACAGGGACAGCAAAAGCUCGGCCUAUCGAUUCUUUUGGUUUAAAGAGUUUUUAACAAGAGGUGUCAGAAAAGUUACCAUAGGGAUAACUGGCUUGUGGCGGCCAAGCGUUCAUAGCGACGUCGCUUUUUGAUCCUUCGAUGUCGGCUCUUCCUAUCAUUGUGAAGCAAAAUUCACCAAGCGUUGGAUUGUUCACCCACGCAAGGGAAAGUGAACUGGGUUUAGACCAUCGUGAGACAGGUUAGUUUUACCCUACUAAUGACAAAACGUUGUUGCGACAGCAUUCCUGCGUAGUACGAGAGGAACCGCAGGUACGGAGCAAUGGCACAAUACUUGUUCGAGCGAACAGUGGUAUGACGCUACGUCCGUUGGAUUAUGCCUGAACGCCUCUAAGGUCGUAUCCGUGCUGGACUGCAAUGAUAAAUAAGGGGCAAUUUGCAUUGUAUGGCUUCUAAACCAUUAAAAGUUUAUAAUUUAUUUUAUAAACGACAAUGGAUGUGAUGCCAAUGUAAUUUGUAACAUAGUAAAUUGGGAGGAUCAUCGAUCACCUGAUGCCGCGCUAGUUGCAUAUAAAAACAUUAUUUAAUACAAUGACAAAGCC
rnacentral:rRNA from 1 species